CAGCAGUCGCCACGGGAAUACGUAGGGUGCAAGCAUUAAUCGGAAUUACUGGGCGUAAAGCGUGCGCAGGCGGUUAUAUAAGACAGAUGUGAAAUCCCCGGGCUCAACCUGGGAACUGCAUUUGUGACUGUAUAGCUAGAGUACGGCAGAGGGGGAUGGAAUUCCGCGUGUAGCAGUGAAAUGCGUAGAUAUGCGGAGGAACACCGAUGGCGAAGGCAAUCCCCUGGGCCUGUACUGACGCUCAUGCACGAAAGCGUGGGGAGCAAACAGGAUUAGAUACCCCUGUAGUCCCUGUCUCUUAUAC
rnacentral:rRNA from 1 species